GGACGUUAAAAACAAAAUUUAAGUUCAAUUGCCGGAUUUUCCACUGUAAAUGUAUAUUGAAAUAUGAAGUAUGGAAGUGGGAUUUUGACAGGCAGGGUUUGCCGGCCAACAGAGAUGCAAUAACUGCAGAUUCCAAUGGAGUCUUCAACUCAUGAAACAAUUCUGUCCAUCAUUGGCAGCGGUUAGGAAUAUCAUGCGGCAUGAAGCAUCCUGGGAAGGUAACUAUUCU
rnacentral:misc_RNA from 1 species